CACCCGGUAGCACAUGGUGUGCAUCUGUUCCUAUUUAUCAUGAACAGGCCCAGAAUAUGCAGAAGGCCCCCCGUUCGAUCCGGGGCCGGGUGA